AAUACAUCGGAACGUGCCCAAUCGUGGGGGAUAACGCAGCGAAAGCUGCGCUAAUACCGCAUACGAUCUAUGGAUGAAAGCGGGGGACCGUAAGGCCUCGCGCGAUUGGAGCGGCCGAUGUCAGAUUAGGUAGUUGGUGGGGUAAAGGCUCACCAAGCCAACGAUCUGUAGCUGGUCUGAGAGGACGACCAGCCACACUGGGACUGAGACACGGCCCAGACUCCUACGGGAGGCAGCAGUGGGGAAUUUUGGACAAUGGGCGCAAGCCUGAUCCAGCAAUGCCGCGUGCAGGAAGAAGGCCUUCGGGUUGUAAACUGCUUUUGUACGGAACGAAAAGGCUCUGGUUAAUACCUGGGGCACAUGACGGUACCGUAAGAAUAAGCACCGGCUAACUACGUGCCAGCAGCCGCGGUAAUACGUAGGGUGCAAGCGUUAAUCGGAAUUACUGGGCGUAAAGCGUGCGCAGGCGGUUUUGUAAGACAGGCGUGAAAUCCCCGGGCUUAACCUGGGAAUUGCGCUUGUGACUGCAAGGCUGGAGUGCGGCAGAGGGGGAUGGAAUUCCGCGUGUGGCAGUGAAAUGCGUAGAUAUGCGGAGG
rnacentral:rRNA from 1 species